AGCAGUAGCCACGGAAUACGGAGGGUGCAAGCGUUACUCGGAAUCACUGGGCGUAAAGGACGCGUAGGCGGAUUAUCAAGUCUCUUGUGAAAUCUAACGGCUUAACCGUUAAACUGCUUGGGAAACUGAUAACCUAGAGUAAGGGAGAGGCAGAUGGAAUUCUUGGUGUAGGGGUAAAAUCCGUAGAUAUCAAGAAGAAUACCUAUUGCGAAGGCGAUCUGCUGGAACUUAACUGACGCUAAUGCGUGAAAGCGUGGGGAGCAAACAGGAUUAGAUACCCGAGUAGUCCCUGUCUCUUAUACA
rnacentral:rRNA from 1 species